rnacentral:rRNA from 1 species
GUGUCAGCCGCCGCGGUAAUACGUAGGAGGCGAGCGUUGUCCGGAUUUACUGGGCGUAAAGCGCGCGCAGGCGGCACUUCAAGUAAGGUGUGAAAUCUCCCUGCUCAACGGGGAGGGUGCACUUUAGACUGAGGAGCUAGAGGACGGUAGAGGGGGGUGGAAUUGCUGGUGUAGCGGUGAAAUGCGUAGAGAUCAGCAGGAACACCCGUGGCGAAGGCGGCCCCCUGGGCCGUACCUGACGCUGAGGCGCGAAGGCUAGGGGAGCGAACGGGAUUAGAUACCCCCGUAGUCC